CCUACGGGUGGCAGCAGGGAGGAAUAUUGGGCAAUGGGCGCAAGCCUGACCCAGCAACGCCGCGUGAAGGAAGAAGGCUUUCGGGUUGUAAACUUCUUUUCUGAGGGACGAAGAAAGUGACGGUACCUCAGGAAUAAGCCACGGCUAACUACGUGCCAGCAGUCGAGGGAAUACGUAGGUGGCAAGCGUUAUCCGGAUUUAUUGGGUGUAAAGGGCGUGUAGGCGGGAAAGCAAGUCAGACUUGAAAACUCAGGGCUAAACCCUGAGCCUGGAUUUGAAACUGUUUUUCUUGAGUGCUGGAGAGGCAAUCGGAAUUCCGUGUGUAGCGGUGAAAUGCGUAGAUAUACGGAGGAACACCAGUGGCGAAGGCGGAUUGCUGGACAGUAACUGACGCUGAGGCGCGAAAGCGUGGGGAGCAAACAGGAUUAGAUACCCGUGUAGUC
rnacentral:rRNA from 1 species